rnacentral:rRNA from 1 species
AAAUUGAAGAGUUUGAUCAUGGCUCAGAUUGAACGCUGGCGGCAGGCCUAACACAUGCAAGUCGAACGGUAACAGGAAGCGCUUGCUGUUUCGCUGACGAGUGGCGGACGGGUGAGUAAUGUCUGGGAAACUGCCUGAUGGAGGGGGAUAACUACUGGAAACGGUAGCUAAUACCGCAUAACGUCGCAAGACCAAAGAGGGGGACCUUCGGGCCUCUUGCCAUCGGAUGUGCCCAGAUGGGAUUAGCUUGUUGGUGGGGUAACGGCUCACCAAGGCGACGAUCCCUAGCUGGUCUGAGAGGAUGACCAGCCACACUGGAACUGAGACACGGUCCAGACUCCUACGGGAGGCAGCAGUGGGGAAUAUUGCACAAUGGGCGCAAGCCUGAUGCAGCCAUGCCGCGUGUAUGAAGAAGGCCUUCGGGUUGUAAAGUACUUUCAGCGGGGAGGAAGGGAGUAAAGUUAAUACCUUUGCUCAUUGACGUUACCCGCAGAAGAAGCACCGGCUAACUCCGUGCCAGCAGCCGCGGUAAUACGGAGGGUGCAAGCGUUAAUCGGAAUUACUGGGCGUAAAGCGCACGCAGGCGGUUUGUUAAGUCAGAUGUGAAAUCCCCGGGCUCAACCUGGGAACUGCAUCU